AUGCUACUCCCUCUGUCCCAUAUUAAGUGACUCAAAUUUGCCCAAAUAUGAAUGUAUCUAUGCCUAAAAAGCGUCUAGAUAUAUGUAAUAGAAAAUCACUUAAUAUGGGACGGAGGGAGUAUAAA
rnacentral:pre_miRNA from 1 species